GACGAACGCUGGCGGCGCGCCUAACACAUGCAAGUCGAACGGAGCUUAGAGAGCUUGCUUUUUAAACUUAGUGGCGAACGGGUGAGUAACGCGUGAGUAACCUGCCCUAGAGUGGGGGACAACAGUUGGAAACGACUGCUAAUACCGCAUAAGCCCACGGUACCGCAUGGCACUGAGGGAAAAGGAUUUAUUCGCUUUAGGAUGGACUCGCGUCCAAUUAGCUAGUUGGUGAGGUAACGGCCCACCAAGGCGACGAUUGGUAGCCGGACUGAGAGGUUGAACGGCCACAUUGGGACUGAGACACGGCCCAGACUCCUACGGGAGGCAGCAGUGGGGGAUAUUGCACAAUGGGGGAAACCCUGAUGCAGCGACGCCGCGUGGAGGAAGAAGGUUUUCGGAUUGUAAACUCCUGUCGUUAGGGACGAUAAUGACGGUACCUAACAAGAAAGCACCGGCUAACUACGUGCCAGCAGCCGCGGUAAAACGUAGGGUGCAAGCGUUGUCCGGAAUUACUGGGUGUAAAGGGAGCGCAGGCGGGAAGACAAGUUGGAAGUGAAAACCAUGGGCUCAACCCAUGAAUUGCUUUCAAAACUGUUUUUCUUGAGUAGUGCAGAGGUAGAUGGAAUUCCCGGUGUAGCGGUGGAAUGCGUAGAUAUCGGGAGGAACACCAGUGGCGAAGGCGGUCUACUGGGCACCAACUGACGCUGAGGCUCGAAAGCAUGGGUAGCAAACAGGAUUAGAUACCCUGGUAGUCCAUGCCGUAAACGAUGAUUACUAGGUGUUGGGGGAUUGACCCCCUCAGUGCCGCAGUUAACACAAUAAGUAAUCCACCUGGGGAGUACGACCGCAAGGUUGAAACUCAAAGGAAUUGACGGGGGCCCGCACAAGCAGUGGAGUAUGUGGUUUAAUUCGAAGCAACGCGAAGAACCUUACCAGGUCUUGACAUCCGAUGCAUAGCACAGAGAUGUGUGAAAUCCUUCGGGACAUCGAGACAGGUGGUGCAUGGUUGUCGUCAGCUCGUGUCGUGAGAUGUUGGGUUAAGUCCCGCAACGAGCGCAACCCUUAUUGCCAGUUACUACGUUAAGAGGACUCUGGCGAGACUGCCGUUGACAAAACGGAGGAAGGUGGGGAUGACGUCAAAUCAUCAUGCCCUUUAUGACCUGGGCUACACACGUACUACAAUGGCGUUAAACAAAGAGAAGCAAGACCGCGAGGUGGAGCAAAACUCAAAAACAACGUCUCAGUUCAGAUUGCAGGCUGCAACUCGCCUGCAUGAAGUCGGAAUUGCUAGUAAUCGCGGAAUCAGCAUGCCGCGGUGAAUACGUUCCCGGGCCU
rnacentral:rRNA from 1 species